rnacentral:misc_RNA from 1 species
UCUCCGUUGGUGAACCAGCGGAGGGAUCAUUACCGAAGUUACCUUCAAAACCCACUGUGAACCUUACCUCUUGCCGUGUUGUCUCGGCGGGAGGCGGUGUGCGUCGCGCGCCCUAGCGGGCCGUGCCGCUCCCGUCCCCGCCGGCAGCGCCAAACUCUAAAUGCACAGCGGACUGUACGUUCUGAUUUACAAAAAAAAACAAGUUAAAACUUUCAACAACGGAUCUCUUGGUUCUG